AGCGAACGCUGGCGGCAGGCCUAACACAUGCCAGUCGAACGAACCUUUCGGGGUUAGUGGCGGACGGGUGAGUAACACGUGGGAACGUGCCUUUAGGUUCGGAAUAACUCAGGGAAACUUGUGCUAAUACCGAAUGUGCCCUUCGGGGGAAAGAUUUAUCGCCUUUAGAGCGGCCCGCGUCUGAUUAGCUAGUUGGUUGAGGUAAUGGCUCACCAAGGCGACGAUCAGUAGCUGGUCUGAGAGGAUGAUCAGCCACAUUUGGACUGAGACACGGCCCAAACUACGCGGGGGGGCCGGGGAGGAGAAGCAUGCGGAAGGGGCAAAAGGAGGACAAGGGUGGGCCGCGGGAAGGAAAAAGCUCGGAGGAUGGUAAAAUUCUUUCGCGGGAGAAGAAAAGGACGGUACACGGAGAAGACGCCCCGACUAAAGUCGCGCCCGCAGCCGCGGAAAUAAGAGGAACAGCACCGCUCUGAGC
rnacentral:rRNA from 1 species